UGCAAGCCCGAAGCGGUAGAAGAUGUCUUUCGGAAUCUGUGAGAGCGGCGUACGGGUGCGGAACACGUGUGCAACCUGCCUUUAUCUGGGGGAGAGCCUUUCGAAAGGAAGAUUAAUACCCCAUAAUAUAUUGAAUGGCAUCAUUUGAUAUUGAAAACUCCGGUGGAUAGAGAUGGGCACGCGCAAGAUUAGAUAGUUGGUGAGGUAACGGCUCACCAAGUCUACGAUCUUUAGGGGGCCUGAGAGGGUGAUCCCCCACACUGGUACUGAGACACGGACCAGACUCCUACGGGAGGCAGCAGUGAGGAAUAUUGGACAAUGGGUGAGAGCCUGAUCCAGCCAUCCCGCGUGAAGGACGACGGCCCUAUGGGUUGUAAACUUCUUUUGUAUAGGGAUAAACCUACUCUCGUGAGAGUAGCUGAAGGUACUAUACGAAUAAGCACCGGCUAACUCCGUGCCAGCAGCCGCGGUAAUACGGAGGGUGCAAGCGUUAUCCGGAUUUAUUGGGUUUAAAGGGUCCGUAGGCGGAUCUGUAAGUCAGUGGUGAAAUCUCACAGCUUAACUGUGAAACUGCCAUUGAUACUGCAGGUCUUGAGUGUUGUUGAAGUAGCUGGAAUAAGUAGUGUAGCGGUGAAAUGCAUAGAUAUUACUUAGAACACCAAUUGCGAAGGCAGGUUACUAAGCAACAACUGACGCUGAUGGACGAAAGCGUGGGGAGCGAACAGGAUUAGAUACCCUGGUAGUCCACGCCGUAAACGAUGCUAACUCGUUUUUGGGUCUUUAAGAUUCAGAGACUAAGCGAAAGUGAUAAGUUAGCCACCUGGGGAGUACGUUCGCAAGAAUGAAACUCAAAGGAAUUGACGGGGGCCCGCACAAGCGGUGGAUUAUGUGGUUUAAUUCGAUGAUACGCGAGGAACCUUACCAAGGCUUAAAUGGGAAAUGACAGGUUUAGAAAUAGACUUUUCUUCGGACAUUUUUCAAGGUGCUGCAUGGUUGUCGUCAGCUCGUGCCCUGAGGUGUUAGGUUAAUUCCUGCAACGAAGCGCAACCCCUGUCACUAGUUGCCAUCAUUAAGUUGGGGACUCU
rnacentral:rRNA from 1 species